rnacentral:Y_RNA from 1 species
AGCUGGUCUGAAGGUAGUGAGUUAUCUCAAUUGAUUGUUUGCAGUCAGUUACAGAUCAAACUCCUUGUUUUAUUCAUCCCCCCUACUCACUUGAUUAGCCUUUA